GUGAGGAAUAUUGGUCAAUGGGCGGGAGCCUGAACCAGCCAAGUCGCGUGAAGGAAGAAGGAUCUAUGGUUCGUAAACUUCUUUUGCAGGGGAAUAAAGUGCAGGACGUGUCCUGUUUUGUAUGUACCCUGAGAAUAAGGAUCGGCUAACUCCGUGCCAGCAGCCGCGGUAAUACGGAGGAUCCGAGCGUUAUCCGGAUUUAUUGGGUUUAAAGGGUGCGUAGGUGGUUUGAUAAGUCAGCGGUGAAAGUUUGCAGCUUAACUGUAAAAAUGCCGUUGAAACUGUCGGACUUGAGUGUAAAUGAGGUAGGCGGAAUGCGUGGUGUAGCGGUGAAAUGCAUAGAUAUCACGCAGAACUCCGAUUGCGAAGGCAGCUUACUAAGCUACAACUGACACUGAAGCACGAAAGCGUGGGGAUCAAACAGGAUUAGAACCCGAGUAGUCC
rnacentral:rRNA from 1 species